rnacentral:rRNA from 1 species
CCCUUAGAUGUUCUGGGCUGCACGCGCGCUACACUGACGCACGCAACAGGUGCCUGCUCCGAGAGGACUGGGUAAUCAUUUGAGUGUGCGUCGUGAUGGGGAUAGAAUAUUGUAAUUAUUACUCUUCAACGAGGAAUUCCUAGUAAGCGCAAGUCAGCAGCUUGCGCUGAUUACGUCCCUGCCCUUUGUACACACCGCCCGUCGCUCCUACCGAUGGGUGAUCCGGUGAAUGAUUCGGACUUCAGCGGCUCCUCUGGGGUGCGCCGGAGAAAGUUUUGUGAACCUUAUCACUUGGAGGAAGGAGAAGUCGUAACA